rnacentral:rRNA from 1 species
AUUGAACGCUGGCGGCAGGCUUAACACAUGCAAGUCGAGCGGAGAGAGGUAGCUUGCUACUGAUCUUAGCGGCGGACGGGUGAGUAAUGCUUAGGAAUCUGCCUAUUAGUGGGGGACAACAUUUCGAAAGGAAUGCUAAUACCGCAUACGUCCUACGGGAGAAAGCAGGGGAUCUUCGGACCUUGCGCUAAUAGAUGAGCCUAAGUCGGAUUAGCUAGUUGGUGGGGUAAAGGCCUACCAAGGCGACGAUCUGUAGCGGGUAUGGGAGGAUGAUCCGCCACACUGGGACUGAGACACGGCCCAGACUCCUACGGGAGGCAGCAGUGGGGAAUAUUGGACAAUGGGCGGAAGCCUGAUCCAGCCAUGCCGCGUGUGUGAAGAAGGCCUUAUGGUUGUAAAGCACUUUAAGCGAGGAGGAGGCUACUUUAGUUAAUACCUAGAGAUAGUGGACGUUACUCGCAGAAUAAGCACCGGCUAACUCUGUGCCAGCCGCCGCAGUAAUAC